rnacentral:rRNA from 1 species
UACAGAGGUCCCAAGCGUUGUUCGGAUUCACUGGGCGUAAAGGGUGCGUAGGUGGUGAGGUAAGUCGGAUGUGAAAUCUCCGAGCUCAACUCGGAAAUGGCAUUGGAAACUACCUUGCUCGAGGGUUGGAGGGGGGACUGGAAUGCUUGGUGUAGCAGUGAAAUGCGUAGAUAUCAAGAGGAACACCUGAGGUGAAGACGGGUUGCUGGGCCAACACUGACGCUGAGGCGCGAAAGCCAGGGGAGCAAUCGGG